rnacentral:snoRNA from 1 species
GCUCUUGAAAACAAAGAGAGAGACUUGUCACCCAGGACCUCUCAUGGUGUCCCAUGCUAGAGCAAACUGUGCCUCCGAACCAUUGCUUGACCUCUGUCUGUUGGCUGCUAGCACUGAAGCCAGUCACACAGUG